rnacentral:ncRNA from 2 species
GGGUGCAAGAGCAUUUUUUAACGGUUCUUGCAGGUUGUUUGGUGGUCGGGCCGCCGCCU